AAUGGGAUAGCUGGGUCAAAUAUUGGUUUCAUUCCAAGUUUUCUAAGGAAUCUCCAUACUGCUUUCCACAGUGGUUGCACUAUUUGCAGUCCCACCAACAAU
rnacentral:pre_miRNA from 1 species